rnacentral:rRNA from 1 species
AUUGAACGCUGGCGGCAGGCCUAACACAUGCAAGUCGAGCGAGCGGCGGACGGGUGAGUAAUGUCUGGGAAACUGCCUGAUGGAGGGGGAUAACUACUGGAAACGGUAGCUAAUACCGCAUACCAUCAGAUGUGCCCCGCUGGGAUUAGCUAGUCGGUGGGGUAAUGGCUCACCUAGGCGACGAUCACUAGCUGGUCUGAGAGGAUGACCAUCCACACGGGAACGGUGACACGGUCCAGACGCCUACGGGAGGCAGCAGUGGGGAAUAUUGCACAAUGGGCGAAAGCCUGAUGCAGCCAUGCCGCGUGUAUGAAGAAGGCCUUCGGGUUGUAAAGUACUUUCAGCGGGGAGGCGUUACCCGCAGAAGAAGCACCGGCUAACUCCGUGCCAGCAGCCGCGGUAAUAC